rnacentral:rRNA from 1 species
GACAGAGGGUGCAAACGUUGUUCGGAAUUACUGGGCGUAAAGCGCGUGUAGGCGGCCCGGAAAGUCGGAUGUGAAAGCCCUGGGCUUAACCUAGGAAGUGCAUUCGAAACUGCUGGGCUUGAGUUCUGGAGAGGAAGGCGGAAUUCUCGGUGUAGAGGUGAAAUUCGUAGAUAUCGAGAGGAACACCGGUGGCGAAGGCGGCCUUCUGGACAGUGACUGACGCUGAGACGCGAAAGCGUGGGGAGCAAACAGGAUUAGAUACCCUGGUAGUCCACGCCGUAAACGAUGAGUGCUAGGUGUCGCGGGCUUUGACCCCUGCGGUGCCGCAGCUAACGCAUUAAGCACUCCGCCUGGGGAGUACGGCCGCAAGGCUAAA